GAUGAACGCUAGCGGGAGGCCUAACACAUGCAAGCCGAGCGGUAGAGUUUCUUCGGAAACUUGAGAGCGGCGCACGGGUGCGUAACACGUGUGCAACCUACCUUUAUCUGGGGGAUAGCCUUUCGAAAGGAAGAUUAAUACCCCAUAAUAUAAUGAUUGGCAUCAAUUAUUAUUGAAAACUCCGGUGGAUAGAGAUGGGCACGCGCAAGAUUAGAUAGUUGGUGAGGUAACGGCUCACCAAGUCAAUGAUCUUUAGGGGUCCUGAGGGGGAGAUCCCCCACACUGGAACUGAGACACGGACCAGACUCCUACGGGACGCAGCAGUGAGGAAGAUUAGGCAAGGGGUGAGAACCUGAUCCAGCCAUCCCGCGUGAAAGAUGACGGUCCUAUGGAUGGUAAGCUUCUUUUGUACAGGGAUAAACCUACCCUCGUGAGGGUAGCUGAAGGUACUGUAAGAAUAAGCACCGGCUAACUCCGUG
rnacentral:rRNA from 1 species